CGAAAUAACCCGUAUGAAAAUUUCAACAGGAGUUCAACUGGACUCCAGCUGGACUUGAGACGUAUUCCAGUCUGACUUUGAAAAGUCCAGUCUGACAUGAGCCGUACACGUACUUUUUCUUAUACUUGGGUUAUUUGCCAGCCGGUAUUUUCUUAAAAGUCCAACCGAACUUUUUGUAAUGCUGACAAGAAAAUAAACACGGCUGGACUUUUGAGGAAAUUUAUUCCUUUCUGUAAAAUGAUCAGCAGGAUUUUUGUCUUAGAAAAUUUAACAUUCAUUUAUGAGCAGGAAUUUAGACUAAGAAAAUUCUUUAACAUCAAUUAGAAACUUGAGCCAUAUAACAGUGAUUUAAUAGCAGUUAGUCUUGUAGAAAUGUGCCAUCUGUUUUCAAUUAACCUCAGUCUGGACAGGUCACAGGAAGUACUAUCUCCACAGAGAUUGAGGCCAUAUGUAGGAGAACACAUUUCGAAAUACAUAUUUCUGCAAUUACUAUCACAUUUAUUAAAAAUUUCAUAAUUAAACAAAUUAAUAAUUGAUUUUCUUUUUUUAAUCUAUCACAUAUUCAAAAUUAAGGCACAUGCAAUUAGUCAUAAGAGGAACAUUUAAAACAACUCCUUAAACAACCUCAUGUAUUGCAAUACAACACAAUUUGAUUUUGGAAUAAACAGGAAGAUGUGUCUUCUUUCUUGAACAAAAUGAGAAUUUCACAUAAUUGUGUGUAAAGCAAAUGUUUGGAAGUAGUUCUUUUCACAUUAAAUAGAGAAGCUAGAUGGAUCAUUCUGACUGGCAUCAAUGACAAAAUUAUUUAGGAAGAUUGCUGUUUGCAUGUGUUUUGGAUUGCAUAUUCUGAUUAUAGCAAGGGAUGCAUGAUGCAAAUUAAAUCAGAAGAACCAACCAUCUGAAGAAAAACUGAGCAGUGGCGGAUCCAGGGGGAGGGUUCCGGGGGUUGGACCACCCCCCCCCCCCCCUUUAUCCUGAGUUAGGAACCUCCCUUUUGAAAAUGGCAGGAUUUGCCCCUGCUGAGAUCAUCUUUAAAAGUCAAACCGCACUUUUUGAAGUCCAGCUGGACUUUUUAAAGUUCAGCUGGACUUUUUAAAGUUCAGCCAUACUUUAAAGUCCGACUGAACUUUAUAGAGUCCAUAUUUUUGCCAUAAAUGCCGGCUGGAUUUUUAUUCAGACGUACUUUUAUUAAAGUCCAGCUGGACUUCAUGAACCGGACUCCUGCUAAUUUAAAUAUUUCGAGCCGGUUUACGGCUAAUUUCGCUGAAAGUCCAGCCGGGGUAUCUAUUAUAAGCAAUUCAAAGAAAAGUCCAAAUGAAUAUUAUAAGUACGGUUCUCAGUACGGCUA